rnacentral:rRNA from 1 species
GACGAACGCUGGCGGCGUGGAUUAGGCAUGCAAGUCGAACGGUAGGAUACCUUCGGGUAUCUGAGAGUGGCGAACGGGUGAGUAACACGUAGGUGAUCUACCCUCAAGAUUGGGACAACCCAGGGAAACUUGGGCUAAUACCGGAUGAAAGCAGCAGUGAUGUUGUUUGAAAGGUGGCGUAAGCUGCCGUUUGGGGAUGAGCCUGCGCUCUAUUAGUUAGUUGGCGGGGUAAAGGCCCACCAAGGCGAUGAUAGAUAGGCGGCCUUAACGGGUGGUCGCCCACACUGGGAUUGAGAUACGGCCCAGACUCCUACGGGAGGCAGCAGUCGAGAAUAGUCUACAAUGGCCGAAAGGCUGAUAGUGCGACGCCGCGUGAACGAAGAAGCCCUUCGGGUGUAAAGUUCUUUUAUAUGUGAGCAGUGCUUUCUAUGUGAACAGCAUGGGGAGAGAGAUAUUAGCAUAUGAAUAAGCAACGGCUAACUCCGUGCCAGCAC